GAUGAACGUUGGCGGUGUGCCUAAUACAUGCAAGUCGAACGGAGUCAGUAGCAAUAUUGGCUCAGUGGCGAACGGGUGAGUAACGCGUUGGUGAUCUGCCUUGAAGUGUGGAAUAACGUUUCGAAAGAGACGCUAAUACCGCAUGUGCUCUCGAUUUUCAGAAAGUUGAGAGUAAAGGAUUUAUUCGCUUCAAGAGGAGCCUGCGUCCCAUCAGCUGGUUGGUAGGGUAACGGCCUACCAAGGCUAUGACGGGUAGGGGACCUGAGAGGGUGGCCCCCCACAAUGGAACUGAAACACGGUCCAUACACCUACGGGUGGCAGCAGUAGGGAAUAUUAGAAAUGGACGAAAGUCUGAUCUAGCAACACCGCGUGUGCGAUGAAGGCCUUCGGGUCGUAAAGCACUUUUUGGAAGGAAUAGGAAGGAAUGUACUUCCAGAAUAAGUCUCGGCUAACUACGUG
rnacentral:rRNA from 1 species